rnacentral:lncRNA from 1 species
CCUAUAAGGAGCUUGGCUGUUGCAAUAUGUAUGAGCUAAUUAACUCUAUUAUAUAAGUCAUGAUAAGUAACUAAUGUUAGCAACCUAUAAGGAGCUUGGCUGUUGCAAUAUGUAUGAGCUAAUUAACUCUAUUAUAUAAGUCAUGAAAAUGUGCAAAUAAACUGAGGCUUGUGAUCAUCAUCGGAUGAGCAUGUCUCCCGUUGCUUCCGACAAAAUGAUUCCCACUACGUGGCAGGAGGACAGCUAUCUUGUAUUGACAGUGAACUAUAUUGAAGAG